UACAGAGGUCUCGAGCGUUAGGCGGAAUCACUGGGCUUAAAGCGUGUGUAGGUGGAUCGUUAAGUACCUUGUGAAAUCCCACGGCUUAACCGUGGAACUGCUUGGUAUACUGGCGGUCUUGAGCCACUUAGGGGCUACCGGAACAAAUGGUGAAGCGGUGAAAUGCGUAGAUAUCAUUUGGAACGCCAAUGGUGAAAACAGGUAGCUGGGAGUGUGCUGACACUGAGACACGAAAGCCAGGGGAGCAAACGGG
rnacentral:rRNA from 1 species